rnacentral:rRNA from 1 species
UGGGGAAUCUUCCGCAAUGGACGCAAGUCUGACGGAGCAACGCCGCGUGAGUGAAGAAGGUUUUCGGAUCGUAAAACUCUGUUUUCAGGGACGAAUGUGCUAUUUGCUAAUACCAAGUAGUAAUGACGGUACCUGAGUAGAAAGCCACGGCUAACUACGUGCCAGCAGCCGCGGUAAUACGUAGGUGGCAAGCGUUGUCCGGAAUUAUUGGGCGUAAAGCGCGCGCAGGUGGGAUAUUAAGUCUGGUGUUAAAGUUCGGGGCUCAACCCCGUGAAGCAUUUGGAAACUGAUAUUCUUGAGUGCAGGAGAGGAAAGUGGAAUUCCUAGUGUAGCGGUGAAAUGCGUAGAUAUUAGGAGGAACACCAGUGGCGAAGGCGACUUUCUGGACUGUGUCUGACACUGAGGCGCGAAAGCUAGGGAAGUGAACAGG